rnacentral:rRNA from 1 species
UUGAACGCUGGCGGCUUGCUUUACACAUGCAAGUCGAACGGCAGCGCGGGCUUCGGCCUGGCGGCGAGUGGCGAACGGGUGAGUAAUACAUCGGAACGUGCCCAGUAGUGGGGGAUAGCUCGGCGAAAGCCGGAUUAAUACCGCAUACGACCUGAGGGUGAAAGCGGGGGAUCUUCGGACCUCGCGCUAUUGGAGCGGCCGAUGGCAGAUUAGCUAGUUGGUGGGGUAAAGGCCUACCAAGGCGACGAUCUGUAGCUGGUCUGAGAGGACGACCAGCCACACUGGGACUGAGACACGGCCCAGACUCCUACGGGAGGCAGCAGUGGGGAAUUUUGGACAAUGGGCGAAAGCCUGAUCCAGCAAUGCCGCGUGUGUGAUGAAGGCCUUCGGGUUGUAAAGCACUUUUGGCGGGAACGAAAAGGACUGUGCCAAUACCACGGUUCGAUGACGGUACCCGCAGAAUAAGCACCGGCUAACUACGUG